rnacentral:tRNA from 1 species
GCCCGGGUGGCUCAGUGGUUGAGCAUCUGCCUUCAGCCCAGGGCGUGAUCCUGGGGUCCUGGGAUCGAGUCCCGCCUGGGGCU